AGGGCAAGUCUGGUGCCAGCAGCCGCGGUAAUUCCAGCUCCAAUAGCGUAUAUUAAAGUUGUUGCAGUUAAAAAGCUCGUAGUUGAAUUUCGGGAUCAAUUUAUUGGUCGUGCCAACGGUACGCACUGGUACAAUUGGUUUCUCCCUUCUGACGAAGCAUGAUGUCAUUAAUUUGAUGUCGUGGGGAAUCAGGACUGUUACUUUGAAAAAAUUAGAGUGUUUAAAGCAGGCUUUGGCUUGAAUACAUUAGCAUGGAAUAAUGAAAUAGGACGUUUGAUCUUAUUUCGUUGGUUUCUAAGAUCGACGUAAUGAUUAAUAGGGAUAGUUGGGGGCAUUAGUAUUCAAUUGUCAGAGGUGAAAUUCUUGGAUUUAUUGAAGACUAACUACUGCGAAAGCAUUUGCCAAGGAUGUUUUCAUUAAUCAAGAACGAAAGUUAGGGGAUCGAAGACGAUCAGAUACCGUCGUAGUCUUAACCAUAAACUAUGCCGACUAGGGAUCGGAUGAUGUUAAUUUUUUAAUGACUCAUUCGGCGCCUUACGGGAAAC
rnacentral:rRNA from 1 species